AGAUGCGAUCAUACCAGCACUAAUGCACCGGAUCCCAUCAGAACUCCGCAGUUAAGCGUGCUUGGGCGAGAGUAGUACUAGGAUGGGUGACCUCCUGGGAAGUCCUCAUGUUGCACCUG
rnacentral:rRNA from 2 species